rnacentral:rRNA from 1 species
CACUUGAUGGGGUAAGGCUCCCAGUAGAUGACUGGGUUGAUAGGCCAGAUAUGGAAGCAUCGUAAGGUGUGGAGUUGACUGGUACUAAUAGGCCGAGGGCUUGUCCUCAGUUG